UAAGUUAAUAGGUAGUGCGCUGGAAUUAAUGGAAAUUACGUGAUUUUAACCACACAUUUGACUUCUGUUGAUAAAGAAAUUGGAAAUUUUUUGUAAUAAAGAUUCAACCCAAAAGAGUAAUUGCUGCUUUGCCUUCCUUUUUUUUUUUAUUGUUCUGAUAAUGAUCAAGAAACCACCUUCUUUGGAUGAGUCUGAGCUUGAUUUGCCACCGGUAAAUUGGGUCGGUUGAGAUAGCACCAACAAACGAGCCGAGCCGAGACGAAUCCUUCCACUGUGCUUGCUGGAUUCUUUGAACGACGUGGUAUUUAUCCCCUCCAGGAACGGAAGAAGGCGAAGGCGGAGGCGGCGGCGGCAGCAGCAGCAGCAGCAGCAGCGUGAUGGAGUUCUGCCCGACGUGCGGGAUGCUGCUGCAGAUCGAGCGGGCGAGCCAAGGGCGGAGGUGCCGCCUCUUCUGCCCCACCUGCCCCUACGUCUGCACCAUCUCCAACAAGAUGGUCAUCAAGCAUAAUUUGGUGAAGAAAGAAUUGGAGCAUAUCUUUAGCGGCGCCGACAGCAUGAAGUUUGCUCCAAGAACUGCAGCAACCUGCCCAAGGUGUCACCACGGAGAGGCAUUCUUCAGGCAAAUGCAGAUUCGUUCAGCUGACGAACCCAUGACAACAUUCUACCGAUGCUGCAACGAGAGAUGCAAUUACGAAUGGCGAGACGACUGAUCUCAUAUCUGAUGCGCAUGGGAGUGGAACUGUUUUCGCUUUCUCAAUCAAGCAUCGGCGUACUCUUGUCCUAUUUCUAUUGCUUUCUGCAUGCAGACCGGAAAGGAGAGAUUUAAGUGCGAAGUUUUCUAUGCACACAACACGUUGCUGCUCGUUAUGUCAAGAUUGCAGCAGCAGACAGUCGAUGAGAAGGAGAAAACAACAUAUGAAGAGGAGGGAGGACGGCAAGUCCGACAAGUUCACGUGUCCAUCCGGAGCAAUUGUGCGUUAGAAUUAAAGCAUGAAGAGGAAGGAGGACAGGAGUCCUCCACACGAGUACGUCCUUUUUUCCUAGAGAGUAAUGAAGUGAUUGAUGCAGCUGCAAUCUAAAGUGAUCCAGCAGCUCUAAACUACCCCCAUAUAUUACUGAUAAUCUAAUUAAUA